rnacentral:rRNA from 1 species
AUUGAACGCUGGCGGCAGGCCUAACACAUGCAAGUCGAACGAGUGGCGGACGGGUGAGUAAUGUCUGGGAAACUGCCUGAUGGAGGGGGUUAACUACUGGAAACGGUAGCUAAUACCGCAUACCAUCAGAUGUGCCCAGAUGGGAUUAGCUAGUUGGUGGGGUAACGGCUCACCAAGGCGACGAUCCCUAGCUGGUCUGAGAGGAUGACCGGCCACACUGGAACUGAGACACGGUCCAGACUCCUACGGGAGGCAGCAGUGGGGAAUAUUGGGCAAUGGGCGGAAGCCUGAUGCAGCCAUGCCGCGUGUAUGAAGAAGGCCUUCGGGUCGUAAAGUACUGUCAGCGGGGAAGCGUUACCCGCAGAAGAAGCACCGGCUAAAUCAGUUGCAGCAGCCGCGGUAAUUC